rnacentral:rRNA from 1 species
UACGUAGGGUGCAAGCGUUGUCCGGAAUUAUUGGGCGUAAAGAGCUCGUAGGCGGUCUGUCGCGUCGGAUGUGAAAACUCGGGGCUCAACCCCGGGCCUGCAUUCGAUACGGGCAGACUAGAGUACGGCAGGGGAGACUGGAAUUCCUGGUGUAGCGGUGAAAUGCGCAGAUAUCAGGAGGAACACCGGUGGCGAAGGCGGGUCUCUGGGCCGAAACUGACGCUGAGGAGCGAAAGCGUGGGGAGCAAACAGG